rnacentral:rRNA from 1 species
CAUUAUCGAGUUUUUUCAGUCGGGGACUGUGCUGGCCCUCGGGCAUGUGCACGUCCCCUUCAUUUCCACACACCUCGUGCACCUCUAGGCGGCGCUCCCGACGGAAGUCGCCUGUUUUUCACUUGCGCUUUUUUGCAUUGUAUGUAUUGGGAUGGCUCUGAAUAGUAACAACUUUCAACAACGGAUCUCUUGGCUCUCGCAUCGAUGAAGAACGCAGCGAAAUGCGAUAAGUAAUGUGAAUUGCAGAAUUCAGUGAAUCAUCGAAUCUUUGAACGCACCUUGCGCUCCCCGGUAUUCCGAGGAGCAUGCCCGUUUGAGAGUCAUGAAAGCCCUCAACCCCUCGUCGCCUCUGGCGUUGGGUUGGACUUGGACGCCUGCUGCGACGCUUUUUUGCUUCGUGGCUCGUCUCAAAUGCAUUAGUCGACUCUGUCGGACUCACCUUUGACGUGAUAGACAUCGCCGUCGAGGUUGGGACCCGACUUUGUUGGA